rnacentral:lncRNA from 1 species
CCAUUACAACAUUAAGAGGGGAAAUCUUUGCCAUGUGUGCAGUCUUGGAGGGAAAACGCUUAGUCUCUCACCAUUGAGCAUCAUAUUAACUGAAUUCUUAUAAAUCAAGACGAGGUAGUGGGCAUGGUCCUGAGAAGAAAACAAUCAAAUAGAUGGUCAAGUAUGACAAACAGAGAUCACACGGAAAUGAAAUGUCUUUUCAAUACUGUCUUCUGAAAAGAGAGGUCUUCAAAGAAUGAAAGUUCAAACAGUGGCCAUUUAACAGAUACACUGGUUUCAAGACUAAGUCUUCUUAUUCUCAAGAAUUACAAAAUAAAAAUGCAGAUAUGGAAUUUAUUGCAAUAAUAUCUUGGGAUAUGAAAUUGUAUCUAUAAAACACUGAUGUAAUGUUAUGAGCUUAUAAUAUAAAUAGAUACUAGACCAUCUCUGUUUUGUGGCACAUUGUAUCAUCAAAUUUUUGUGUGUGUGCAAUUCUAAAGUAAAAAAAUAAAAC